CUGCCCGGGCGGCCGGCCUGCCUGGAGGUCACAUGGGGGCCAGCCAGCUGGCCCUUCCCAGAAAGUGUGCCCGGCUGCCCCACCAAGCCCCCCCACCCGAGUGUGUGGCAGGCGGGGGGUCCACCCUCCAAGCCACAAGUGCAGUUUCUACUGGAAUGUUCCAGAUCAGCAGUGCUCUGCCGACAGGGGUCGGUCCCUGCACCUGCAGCCGCCACCUCCUUUCAAACCCGCGGUGGGUUUCACGGACACACCGUGCCAAGUGCCCUCCAAUUUGCCUCCCUGGCCGACGUGCCCCCCGGCCCCAUGGGACAAGCACUCAGACAGCGGCUUGUGGGACUGGGCUGAGCAGUGCUGCCCCUCGGGCUACAAUUUAAAAUGUAGGAGAGAAUUGGAAACUGUGUGCUUUUUGAAAAUGAAACAAUCGUGUUCCUGGACCCUCGGGGCUCAUGGCAGAGUCUCGGUCUGCCUGGUGAACCUGCUCCCAACCAGUCCCGCAGCAGAGAGCGCUGCGGAAUGAGAAGGACCACCGCAGCGCCCACCUUUCCACGGAGCUUCUUGAGUCCCUGAAAGGCACCUCGCAGCAGGCUGUGACCUUCAGGGCCUCUUGGGGCUUUAAGAAAGCUGUUUAAGAGAAAAGGCAGAAAGACUGGAGCCAUUGUCAAGUGCAGAGUCUGGGUUCCAGGCGGACGAGAGGAGCCCGGGCACGGGGGCCAGGCCAGCCGGCAGUGCCGUGGACGCCGACGACCUCCAGGAAAGGCAGCGGCCCUCCCGGUGCACGAGCCUCUGCCUCGCCUGCUUCUGUGCUAGGAAGACACGGGAAAGGUUUGGGGACAGGCCUUUCCGCACUUACAAUCACAAACAUGGGACUUGAAAACGCACCAAAUCCGAGCUGGCAGCGAGGUGGAAGGCCCAUGUUUUGAAAAUGUCUGGGCGGCUCCCAAGUUUCCACCCUGUCCAGGGCUCCCAGUCGGACUUUGUCGGGAGCCGUCAAUGCAGAGCCCCAGUCCUCCUGUGACCGGAGCUCCCGGUGUGCCCUCGGCCAGGGCGACCCAAGGAGCCACCCUGCGCCCCCAUACCCUGUGGCCGGCCCUACAUGCAUACACCUCUUCCCGCACCAUUUCGGGGGGCCCAAGGAAGCACUGAAGGUUCAGGGUCUUCCUGUGCUCCAAACCCAGCCUCCUGCUCUGAGGGUGGGGGUUCUAGGCCGGCCCUCGGGGCCCAUGUCCCAGGAACCAGGUUUGAUGCACUGAUGCUGCUGUCAUGAAAUUCUGAAUUUUUGAAGGAGUUUGCAUCUUCUCUCUGCCCCGGGGCCCACACAUCAAAACGUGUUUUCUGCCCUCCAGUCCCCACUCUACUGCACACAUGUGCACACAUGCACACACGCACUCCCGCAUGCACGCUUGCAGGCACAAACCCUAAAGACAACUGCUCGGCUCGCUGGGCGGAGGCGGGGCCGUGGCGAGUUGAGAGGGCUCCACACGUGCCUGUCUGCCACCCGCCACCUCCGGUCGGGACUCUCUCUUGGGGGGCGCGUGGGACGGAGGGGCAGGUCGGCCCCUCACACAGCUGAUGGGCCGCUGGCAGAAAGUCCCGGACACAGGGACAGUGCUUUCACCCCCAACCAAAGGGCCACCUGUCUCCUGGAGCAGGAAGUCGCCCUGCGGAGGGCGGGCCGCCGCCCAGGAGGGUGGGAGCCACGACGAGUGGACUUAAAAGGAGAAACAAAAGCCUCACAUUGGGAGAAUGACGUCUUUUGACACCAUGGACACGGAGAGCAGUUUCGAUAGUGCUAAAGGAACACACCGCCCUAACCACCGUGGGGACAGUGCGGCCUACGCCCGCCGCCGUACGGUUCACAGAGAGGCCUGACAACCCAAGUCGCCACAACCAAGUUGUUCUCCACGCAGAUGGACUACAGCUUUGUCGACCACGAAUUCCAACAGACUCACAAGGGCUGAAAGAAAACAGGGCUGCUGCCGAAAACUCACAGGACGCGACAACCGAAUUACGGCUCAGAACCUCCGGGGCUGGAAUGAGACAAGGACAGGGCGGGCGGCCCCGCAGAGUCCCCUGGUGCUGCAGGGACCGGCAGUGUGCACGGUGACGGACGGGUCAGCCCCGCGUCACCGCGACGGAGGCCGAGGAGCAGGCUCCGCUGUCACAUGUGCUAUGUGGACGCGGGACCUAUGGACAGCUGCGCCAAAGGGUUGGAGCCGCGCACGUCCUGCAGGGUCACGCAGAGGCGCCCGCCCCUUCUGUGACAAACUCAAGGGCGCGGCCACCAGCCGCACCUCUGCCAGGCGACUCCCCAGCUCCGGGGCAGUGGGACUAGCGGCGUUUCGAGUCCACUCAGUCCCAAGGUUUCACCUGCGUCCCCACGACCAUUAGGAUCACAGAUGCCCCGCCAAGAGCGCUGGGGCCUCGGGGCCUACGGAAGGAUUCUCGCCUCUGCGCUGCAGAGCCCGGGCUUCAACGGCAAGGUCACCCCCAAAGGCGGCCCCCACAAGCUGACACAAGAAGGAAGCACAUCUAUCUUUUAAAAGGAGUCGAAUUUUUUGAAAACCACAGCCGACUGGCUGGGAGGAAGGAUGCGAGGCGCGAAGCUGAGAGCUGUGGGACCGUGAGAACAGGGCCCUGGGCCCGGCUGCGCGUGCAGGCUGUGCUGGCCCAGGCGCCGGCUCUUCCCGCCUCCCCGAAUCCUUCCUCUCUCAAAACGGCGAUUUCUCCACAGGCCUCCUGCUCUGUCCCUCUGUGACUGAGGCCUGUGGAAAGGCGGUGGCUAGGAGAGCCUGUGAAUUCCCACGCCUCUGCAAAGCAUGGGCGGAGCCUCACGGUGAGCGUGGCAGCUGCAACAGAGCUGGUUUCCACCCGACGCGAGGGGGGCAUGGGAAAGAAGGUCGUCACGGGACCCCCACGGGAUCCGAUGAACAGCAAUCAAUCAACCAUUGAUCCGUCCAGAAGAAGCACGGUCAGUGCUUCCCCCCUUCUCUGAGUCACUGUGUCUGCACGAGUCACUCCUUCGGUAACUCGUCUGGGCACUGCGCUGGCCCCCCACUUAGCACCCUGAACGGGGGUUACCGGGGAGCCUCACACUGAUCCUAAGGGACAGAGCUGGAGGCUAACAGUGUGCUAGACUCUUUACCAAAAAUGCUGAUAAAAAUAACGCCCCAAUAAAAGAACAUAGUCAAGGCUGA